AUCUAGUUUUAAGUAUUUUGUUAUAGUCCUAUGUAUUAGUCCAUUUUGUGUUGAUUUAAGAGAAUAUAUGAGAUUGAAAGUCCAAGAUUAAGUGGCUCCAUCUAUUUGUACUCUGGUGCGGGCCUCGUGGCUGCAUCACAACAUGAUAGAGAAGCAGAAAGGGAACCAAUUGUGUGCUGAAGGGUGUAGGGUAAACUCGUUUUAAAAUAGUCCUCUUCCUGAGAACUUGCCCUGUGGGACCAUCAUUAAUCUCUCUGAGGAUGGUGCCCUCAAGACCUAACCAUCUCCUACUACAUCCCACCUUUUACACAUUUUACCACCUCAGCAUCAGAACACUGGAGAACAAGCCUCCAGCACCUGAACCCUUGGGAAACAAACUACAUCCAAGCUUCAGCACAGCACAAACAGACUAAGGCAACAAACCACUUCUUGAGUCGGAACUGAAAUAAAUACCGUAGGACUUGUACACAAGUGAUAGGAAAGGAAGAACACUGGGUCAUAAAGCAAAAUGAGGUUUUUAUACAAUUCCCUUUAUGUGACAGAGAGCAUGGUUAGUGGAAGGAAUCUGUGAGCUGAGGUCUCAGACUGGGUCCAAGUACAGCUCUGCCCCUUCAUUGGGAAAACUUGGCUACUUUCAUUUCUGAGCCUCAAAGUCUUCAUAUGCUAAAAGAAACAUUAGUAUUUACCUUGAAGGACUAUUGCAUCAGAUGAGAAAACAGCUGGGGCCCGUAACAGCGAGUUUCACUGUCCUGUGGAUCAUGAUCUACAGGUCAUUCCAGCAGUGGAGAGCUCAGCAUCCUCUACUGCAGGGAAGCUCGCUGCCAGACAUGAACUUGGUGAAGGAAAGCUCCGAGGGUCUUGCAUUGAUUCUUCUUCCUCCCAGUCUCUGCUUCUGCUUCUAUCAUGUCAUCAGCAUUUGGUUUUGAAGAAGAAACACCGUCAGAGGCAGCAUCCCUCACCAAGGCUUAUUUGGUGACAACUGGACUUCAGUCUCUAUUUGCUCCAGCACACUGGGCAGGCACAUGUGAAGAAGUGCAUAUCAUGUCCAACCAUUAGGAAUAGUCCUUGUCCAGAUCUCUGAAGCUCUGUGAACUCAAAGUUUCAUCGCUGUGUUUCUGAUCUUAAGAUUAUCUCAUGCUGGUGGAGGAGAUGAUUUCUGUGAGUUAGAAAAUCGGGAACCGCUCAGCUGAAUGAUCUGGCUUGGGAUCUCUCAUAAUCUUCUAGUUAGGAUGUCAACCAGGACUUCUGUCAUCUGAAGACUUAACUGGAGCUGGACAAUUUGCUUCUAAGAUGCACUUACACAGCAGGCAAGUUGAUGCUAGUUGUUGGCAAAAGGCCUCCUCAUUGACCUCUCCAAAGGGAUGGUAAAUGGCAGGUGGUUUCCCCCAGAGUAGAUUGUUAAAGAAAGAACAAGGUAGACUAAUUUCCUUUUAUAGCCUAGUCUCAAAAGUCACACAUUUGACAGUUUCCCAUAGUUUAUUCAGAGUGUGAAUAUCAGGAGGCAAGAAUCAUGGCCAUGGUAAAAGUGGGCUACUAUAGACCCCCCCCAGAACAAGCUGGAGGGAGGCAAGCUCUCUGUAGCAGAGAGAGUUGGAAGUGAGUCUGGAAGUCCAAGUUAACAAGCCAAAUGCAGCAGAAGAAGUUUCCCAGCAAGAUAUCAGUAUGUGGAAAGGGAGGGAGAAGAAGUUACAGAUCAUACUCUUGUAAGACUCAGAGUUUUGAGGUAGGAAUGGUGCUGAGCAUACACAGUGCAAAAUAGUAAUGUAAGGCUGAAUAAAUCAUCCAAGGUGAAGCCAUAAAGGUUAGCAUUUAUUUUUAUAAGAUAUGGGUAUCCAUGAUUCUUAAUACUUGCAUUUCAAAAGGCAGCCAAAGAGAUUCAGUAUUCUUGGUGCUAUAUUAAUUUCCAACUCUUAGAAGUAGAGUGGAAUGCCUUUAGAGGGCAUCUCCUGCCUUCUUCACUUUUCCUUCUUCUGUUCACUUCUCCUUAAGCACAUUUGAGGGGCACAGCUGGCAUGAACUGAGAGAUUAUAUUAGUCAAUUUUUUUACCACUGUCACCAAAAGACCUGAUUUUAAAAACAACUUUAGAAGAGGAAGAGCUUAUUUGGGGCUCAGGGUUUCAGAAGUCUCAGUGCAUAGACAGCUAACUCCAUUGCUCUGGGCCCAAGGUGAGGCAGAACAUCAGAGUAAAAGGGUGUGACUGAGGAAAGCAUCACAGGACUGGGUAAUAAGGAAAUACAGAGAGAAUUUCACUUACCAGGAGCAAAAUAUAAACCCCAAAGUCACACCCCAGUGACCACCCCCUACCUGCCUGCAGUUACUACACAGUUAAUCUGUCUACAGUUACCACAUAAUUAAUAUUCUACUUUCUGUUGCUCUUACCUAACAGACCAAGAAGAACUUUUUUUUUUCUUCAAAAUCUUCACCCUAAUAUUAGUAAAGAGGGAUGGAUCUCCAUCUGAAAGCUUAAUCAACACACUUAUUAUUAAUGGGAAAACUUGAAAACUUGUUUUUGAUACAGAAGAAAUCCUAGAGAGAUAGAUUCUAAUGGAACUGGACAGGCAUGUGAAUGAAAUUUUGAAGGUGGAUAGAAUAGGAAGGUAUUUUUGUCUUAGUUUGCAGAGCUUUAACUUUUACUGUGCUAUUUGAUGCCUCUAGAUAACAAUGUUAACAAAGAAAACCUAAAGCUAGUUGAAACUGUGAGUAAAUAUAAAAAAAGUCAUAAUACACAUCAAACUUAUAGAUACAAGAAAUAACUAUAGCAAUAUAAUUGUAAAAACACAAUUACUUUGGGAAAUUAUUCAAUAUUCCAAGUGUUUAAAGAAUUAACAUUGGAUUAUGGUCUGGCAUUGUUUUAAGUGUUUUACCUGUUUCAAUCCAUGUAGUUAUCUGUAAUCCUACUUCUCUCAUUUUAUAGAUAGAAAUUAUGACAGAGAGACAUUAAGUAACUUGCCAAUAAUCACACAGCUCUAAGAGGCAGAGCUAGGAUUUGAAUUCAGAUGUUAUGGUUCUUAAACUCCCCUC